rnacentral:rRNA from 1 species
UACGUAGGAGGCAAGCGUUGUCCGGAGUUACUGGGCGUAAAGCGCACGCAGGCGGUCCUAUUAGUCUGGGGUGACAGUUCCCGGCUUAACCGGAAGAGGACUCUGGAAACUGUAGGACUUGAGGGCUUCAGAGGGAUGCGGAAUUCCAGGUGGAGUGGUGAAAUGCGUAGAGAUCUGGAAGAACACCAAAGGCGAAGGCAGCAUCCUGGGAAGUUCCUGACGCUCGGGUGCGAAAGCCAGGGGAGCGAACGGG